CCGUAAAAUGUUCCGCAAUUGUCCCGCUUCACGUCCAGGACAGAGUUAACAUAAUUAAUUUUUGCAUUUAUAAUUUAAUUUAUGAAAUAAUUAAUAUUCUUUAAAUGUGGAGCACGUUUUCACCUGGUUAUCGUCGAAGAUUAAAUUUAAAUUGAUUGCUGAGGAUACUAAAUUUAGAAGAGUGCAAUUCUCAAACCGUAUUAAAGAUGCUUUGUCAAGAAAUAAAGUAGUAAGGGAAAGAGUGUUUCCAGUUUGCUUUCCUUCAAAAAGUUCUCAUACUGGUCAUUUUACUAGAGAUUUUGUUAUUUUCACUGGAUUUUAUUGCUGUGUUAUUGCUGUAAUGUUACUGUUGUGAUGUUUUGUGUUGAUAGACAGCUUGGCUUACCUUCCCGUUGGCGUCUAUUGUUAAAAAUAAAUCAUAGAUCUGAUAGCAAUAUAUGAAGGAUCACACUCUCUAUUUUCUGAAACCAUCUGCGUGCACUUCAAUUGCAGGAUAUAUGAUUGCCUAUGGAAUCAAUUAGAGUUAAUUGGAAAUGAGCAAGUUGUGCUGAUGUAGGAGUCACUGCAUACUUUAUAUGUAGAUACAUUCAUACGUAAAGAAAAAGAGAUAAAAGUAUAUGGUUGGCUAUAAUAUGGAAAGUUUAAAAAGUUAAAAUCCACAAAGCAUAAAGUAUAAAUAUGGAAUCUGGAAGCACUGAAAAAGCAUUGUAUUGAAUCUGGAUACUUUGUAGAGAGAAAAAUAAACACAAGAUACGAUCAUAAUGUUAAUAGACUACUGGUGUUGAUUCUAAGAGAUAUGUUUGGCUAUAAUCAAAAGAAUGCGAGAAAAAACGCAAAAA